CGAGCAUCUAUGAAUCUGUCAAAACACAGGGCCAAGGGAGCUACCACUAAAAACGCAGCUGCAUCAGAGAAGGAGCACAGGAGCAGGGGAUUGCACAUUGAAGGACCAAGGACAGUGCGCCUUCUCUCCAGCCAGGGUGUACCCUGCACAGAGUGAGCUACCGGGAGAGGCUUCUCUUUGGGCCAUGCCAUCAGCCUGCAGUGUGUGAAGGACUGGGCUUCUGCCCGCUGCCCAAGUGCUCAGCACUCUGCAUGCUUGUCUCUUCCCCCACCUGGCUCUGGCAGCUGGGUGGUCAGAAGAGAGAGGAUCCUUUGUCAGCCUCAAAUGCACCCAGGGGUGAUCCCAGAAGCUGGGGCUGAGAAAUGCCUGCCUAGCCUCUGCCCCUCCUCUGGCGGGUCUUUGCUGAUACACCGGUGAGAUGCUCAAGGCCUUUGCAAAAGUGGUAUCUGUAGAGGGGCGGGACGGGGUUUCUCUCCCUUGUUCUGUGCUGGAUCCUGCCAGUGAAUUUGUGACAGGCUUUGGACAGCCAGAGCCCCAUGGCCUCCUUGUGCACACAGCAAGUUCCUGGCGUGUCCUGUCCUUCACAUGCUGAGGGGCAACGAGGAACAGGGCCUGGCACUGAAUCCAGCCCUGGUGCAAGCAGCCCCCGCGUUGCUGUCUGCGUCCUUCCCCAGGCCCCUGGCUUUGCCCUUCAGCCCCUCCUGCUCCGUGGUGCCAGCUGCUUUCCCGCUAGCCUUUAGAGGGCUGGUAGAGGGGGGAAACGCUGAAGAACUGAGACAGGCCAAAAUGGGCCCCUCGAGUGCAGCCCUGCGGGAGCCGGAGGUUAGAUGGAGGGCCUGGGUCCACAUUCGGGCCAACGUCAGAACCAGAUCUCGGGCACCUGUGUUUUGGUCCCAGUUUGGUUCUCGCGGAUAGGCCCGGUCUGAUGUGAUGAGACAUCAGCGUUGUCUGCCUGGGGCUUACUUAGCCUUGCUCUAGCCCCCGGUUUAACUAAUCUUGCAUUGCUUUGAAGCCCAGGCUCUCCUGCCUUGGAGGGAAAACGAUUUAGCUGGUGCCAUUGCAGCCAGUCUGGAAACGCCCAUUCUUCCCUGGUCUGUCGUGGACCUGGGAAUGCCACUGUGAGCGCACCCCUCUUCCUGGCCUCGUGUUUUACCAGGAGCCUUGCUGGCCGGGCGCUCCCUGCUCCCCGCUCCCUGUCUUGGGGUAGGGGCCAGUACUGCACCCGCUUGCUUUGGUUGUGAUGAGAGCUGCAAGGGGAAGCUCCAGGGGAUCUGGGCCUGAGCUUCCCUAGGUGCUUGCAGCUUCUCCUAGUGUAGGAGAUGCGUGCGUGUGGCUUUCUUGUCUCCCCGCAGAAGCCCCUGCAUUGGUCCUUAGUUGAGCUCAGGAAGCCUUGUUAUAGGGUCUGCCGUGGGGCCUGGCAGCACAGACCCAGGACUGCCUUGCCUGCAGAAACAUCCGUCUCCCUGUCAUGAAAUAUUCAUGUCCGUCUCCAAACAGGCUGGAGCAAAGCAAAUGGACGUGCCCCUCCCCCUGCCCCCAUAGGCAGCUCCCCACACACAGGCAGUGCUGCAGGGAGGGUGGCUGCAGGCUCUGCUGCAAGGGCAAACUGGAUUCUGGCAGCUGAUCUCCAGUCUUUGAGGAAAUGAAAUAGAGAGAGCAAAAAAAGAAGUAGUGAAAGCCCCAGGCCUGGCUGUGAGACUUAACCCUUGCAGACUGGGAACGCCAGUGAGAGCCGGCGUGCAUGCAGGGGUCUGGAUGGGAAGGGCAGAACGGGACUCUCGGGGCUGCUGCAGAUUCUGCAGCAUUCAUUCGGGCUGGGAGAGGUGCGCCUGGCUGGGACCCCACAAAGUGCAGAGGCCCCGCAGCGGACGCAGAGUGCGAGUUUCCAGCCUAGUGACAGGGCACGUAGCUUCUGCUGAGCCAGGAAGCACUGGGCCAAAUUCAGCCCCGGUGAGUGGGUGCAGCUUUGACUGCACUGGGACAGCAGGUGACCCUGGCGGGGGUGCCUGGGUCACGCUGCUUGCUUCGGGGGGGCGUGUGCUCAACCCGACUGCGUGCUUGCUGCUACUCCUCAAAGGUUUUUCCAUUCGGGGUGUUGUGCACAUCAGCCCACCAACGCCACGCAGCCAGGGCAGGCCACUGCCCCGACUGACCACACAGUAGCAAGGGAAAGUUUGGCUUUGGGGCCUGGGACUCAGGUUCAUUCGCUGCUCUCUAAAGACACCCUGCAUGACUUUGGGCAAGCCCCUUCCUCCUUGUGCCUCAGUUUCCUGCCUGCGUAGUAGCUCUUGCCUCCUGGGGUAGCUGUGGACCUAAAUGAAUUGCUGUGGAGAUGAGCAGGCACUGGGAGGGAGAGAGAGAGGGGCUCUGCAGUGGGUCUGCACUGGUUGGCAGCACGGGGAGGCCCUUGGGGCAGGAGACUGGCGAAGCUGGUGGGUGCAGGUGGCUUGUAUUUUCCUCUUCAUCCCCUUGACAAUCCAAUUUACACUCCCCUUUUCUUCCCUGGAAUCCUGUUGUUACCAUGGGAACUGUGUUCUCAGCUAUGUUUCAUUGGCUUCUGGAGAAACCCUUUUCUUUUCUUUUUUAACUUAAUUCCAAGACUUGGGGCUGGAUCAUGUGGGGAGACCGGCUCAAGUGGGGAGUUGUGAGAAUUGGAGGGGUAUAGAGGCGAAACACUAGCUUCUGUCCAUCCUAGCGAUAGGAUUUAAAACUUUAUCAGGAAACAUCAAAAAUUAUGGUUCUAGACAUGGCUGUGUAGAGUUCGAGGAGAUCCUUAUAGGACCCCGUGCAUAGUUGCUGCAUGGGUACACAGGGUACACAAUCUAAAGCAUGCGGGUAGUCAUGCGGCCUGUAUUGGCUCCAGUGCCAUGUGUGCUGGGCUAGAAAGAGAGGGAGGACCCCGUGCAUGGCAGUGGCCCUUAGAUGGUGGCUUUAACAUGCAGCGUAGUUGUUGGGGUGGGGAAUAUUCAAGGUCUUUGUAGGUCUAUGCUGUGUGUGUGGAGAGGGUUCAGUCCAUCUGUCCUCUCGCUCUUGCUUUUAGUGGGUGGUCUUGGUCGGGUAGCUUUGUACUGGUAGUGGCCUGCGACAUGCUCAGCAUAGAUGCCCCUUGACCGUUGGAUGGUAUUGAAGAAUACCAUGAGGCGCCUCAUCACUUCUGCAUGGCGGCAGGCAGUCUGCAGGCUCGCAGGCCACACUCCUUGCUUGGGUCCAAGCUCCAAGGACUCCAGCGAUCAGCACCUGCACCUUCACAUCAGAUCCCUUCUCAGAACUGCAUCCAGAGAGCCAGGGCCAGCGUCCUGGAGCCCUUGCUGUGACCCUCCCUCUCUGGCUGUAGAGCCUCCUCAGCCCUGGCCUGGAAGGACCAGGCUGCCGAUAGUGGGGGGCGGGGGCUCGAGCUCAUGGUGGGCUUAGCCUGAUCCUAACUGGGAUCUGUGGGUGCUGCCAGAGAGUCAGGUGUGAUAUGAGCAGGAGGAGGGAGGCAGGACUCCUGGGUCCAUUCUUUGCUCUGCUUCUGACUUGCUAGGCAAAUCCUUUCUCUGCUUACUUCCAGGUCCCUAUCUGUAAAGUGAUUACAAUAAAGUGCGGUUGCUAAGUGCUUGGGAUGCCUUUUCUGAGCUGUCAUUGCCAGAGGGCAUGGGAGAGUGCCCAGAGCGCCAGCUGCAAACCCGAGCUCAGCCCUUCACCUGCUGAUGCAGGGGGUGAAGCAAGGAUGUGGGACCCUCUCAAGGUCCAGCUUCUCCCUGUUCUGUCUAGAGGCUGAAACAUUCUUCCUGAGCGCCAGGGUUUCCCAUUCCCCUUGGCAAGUGGGCUGUCCCCUGGGGCUGUGCUGUGCUGUAGAAGUGGCUGCACUCCAUGGUGCUUGCUGCCUGGGAGGUCAGGGGGCCUGGCUGUUCCUUCUGGCUCUUCGCUUGCUCCAGCUCAGCACCAUGGUAUCACAAAGCCAAUCUUAGUGCAGGUCCUGCCUCUCCCCACGGUGUUUCCAGUCUGAUACGAAUGGGCCGCCAGGUGAAACGCUCCAUGCUCGGCUGCCUCUGGAUUCUUUCCAUCCCACAGGAGCUGCCUCUUUCCAGAGACAUUGCCAGCAGGCCUUGUGGCAGUUUCAGCUGGGGAUAAGCAUGACUUACCUUUGGCUCAUGCAGGGAUGUGCUCCAGGCUGCCUGUACUGGGCAGGGAUGCCUCCUGCUGGUUGUGCUGCUGUGGGAACAAGCAUUUUUCCAGGAGAUGACUUCUAACUCUUCGCCCCUGGUCCAAGUCCCCUGGGAGUUGUAUGCCUUUCUGCUGCAUGGGGGCUGCAUCCCCACGCCCUUCCUUUUAUUGGGGUAACCCUAAGCUUUCUCCCCCCUGGCUGUCUGUGCCAGGUCAAGUUGGAAGCGACAGAGUGGGUACAUUUUUUGGGUGCACCCUUGGGUCCUGUCUCUGGUUCGCAGACCGAGGCUGCGUCUGUGGCUGGUGCAGGCUGGUGACGUGUGCUGUCCAGUGCUUGCCUGUUGUUGUCAGCAAUGAGGACUCUAGGCUUGUCUUUAACAGGAUUAGGAGAGGCUUAGCUGGCAGGAUUAACCUCCCUGACGAGCUGAUUCCAGCAUCUCUCCUCUCUCCACUGACCUGGCAGCUCCCUGGAGCGUCCUGCUCCCUCUCCCUGCAGUGUGGGAAUGUCCACACCGGAUUUCUGGGCAGGGUGUGCAGCGUGACUGCAGGGGAGUUGGUCCUGCACAGCGUUGGCCUCCCCUUCCACCCUGACACUCGUGGUCCUGCAUCCAGGGGCCAGGAGAUGCAGCAGAGCCCCGAGAGGUGACAUGGUUGCUAGUCCGUUCUGGGCCGCCAGGUGGCACCCCCUGCCCCCCCUUUGCUCUCGCCUUGCUGCCUGCGCUGCCCUUGCUGUUGCCACAUCUCCAGCCUGAUGUCCUGCCACCUCCACCCGCCACCUCCAGCCCCAGCAGCUGGGUGGCAGCCACGUAGGAGCUGGGCUGGGCAGGCCUGGCCUGGGCUGUCUCCCCAGUCACCCCCUUCAGCGUUCUUGCUUGCUUCAAUUCCUGCACCAGAACUGGCCCCAAAGCUAGAGGCCCUAGCGAUGCCCGUGGCCACAGACAGCCCAGCCGCCUCUGUCAGGAGGUCAGGCAGCGUGUGGCAGCAGCAGGGAGGACUGAAGACAUGGAGAUGAGCCCCUUUCCUGCUGCCUUCUCCUUGCCUCCAUGCAACCUGUGGCAAGUCUCAAGGAGGUUUCGGCCAAGUCACAAAGAUGCUACCUGGGGUUUGUUUGCUAGGGGCAGAGGCCAGAGCUUCAGCGCCCUGCCUGAGGAGCCAUUCCUGGGCAGCCCCAGGCUGAGAAGCAGCAGAAAAUGUCAGAGCCCUCUUGCACCCGUCAGGAGUUUCAUGCAGACCAGAGGUGUUCAGGAAAUCUGGGCUACAAGCCCAGCACACAUGCAGCUUGGCUUGGCGGAGCUGUCCCAAGGCUGGCUGUGCGACCCAGCAGACUGACUUAGCUCUGCUCCAUUUUGGGGGCGGGUGAGCAGAGGAGGUCAGUAAGCAGAGGAGGAUAAAGCAGAAGUGAGAGUGGAGGAGAGCCUGGAGCAACCCAUGAGGAAGCGGACAGCCAACAGAGGGGCCAACUUCAGUGACUGUCCGGAAACGGGCUGCGUGGGUCUGGUGCUCGGGGUGCCAGUAGCGGGUACUAAAGGAUGGUCAGGAGGAGGGUGUAGGCUCCAUUGCCUGCAGCGACUCAGCCCAGGGUUCCUCUGGAGUUGAAGGCUGGGCCGUGAGUGUGGGAGAAGCAGGGGGACCGGGUAUCGAGGCUUCUCAGGCUCUACAAUCACCUCUGCCUCUCCCUGUGGCCUUGGGGACAGUGUGGAUGUUAAUAUAACACCCCUCCCUGGCCACAGGUAGUGCACUCGCAUAUUGUCAUCUGCAUAUCUGAUGAAGUCCAUGUCCAAAAACACACUGUGGACGUUGCUGUGGUCUAGCGAUGAGUUGGGGAGCAGCAGGCAGGACUUCCGGGUUCUCGUCCCAGUGCUGACUUCAACCUGUCUUUUCUCACUGGUGCUGAGUUUCCCAGGCUGUGACAUGGGAUUUGUACCGGCUUCUGUCUCACUUCGUGGCUAGCCCCUGAGAAUUUCGACGUGGCAGGAGCUGUUGAGGAAAGGCAGGGAUGGUGGGUGCCACACCUCAGUCCCAAGAGGCCCAGAAGAGCCUGUUGCUUUCACGCUUGCCUUAGUGAAUUCAGUCCUUUGUGACGCUGGGGCUCGAGGAGGCACCUUGAGCAGGGCGAUGCUUCCCCUGGGAGAGGCCCUGCAGUGCCCCUGCCCAGCUGCUCUCCGCACAAGCUCAGGGCGGGCACCCUCCACGAGGGGGCAGUGCUGCACGUGCACAGGCCGUGCACGGCAGCCCCACAGCCACGGCCCCUCUGCCCAGGCCACCAGGGCCCUGAUUCUGUCACAAGCGUGAGAGCCAGGAGCUGGGAGCCCUUGCCCGCCCAGAAUCCUUGAGCCUCUUGGCCCCUGCCAAGGCAGAAAGCAGCUGCGUCACUUGCUUGCUGUCCCUAGUACACAAAGUCCCGUGCCAGCAAGAACUGCACCAGGCCUUUACAACUCAACAUGUACGAGAAAGUACGGGAGGUCUUUCUGUUUGCCUUCUGGUUCCUGAAAUGAUAUGGUGGGCCAGCCCCCCAUUGCCACCCUCUGCUGGGAGCCCGAGGUGUGCCCCGGCCUGCUGGCACUGCCUCCAGCAGCAGCUCUGAGUGCUGCAGAGGAAGCCACUGUACCCAGCGCUGUGACGCCGCACAGCACAGCACAGCACCAGAGCGGUCCUGCAGAGAGCUGGCUUGGCCGUGCUCCUUUGUGAGUCCUCCCCACUGCACCCAGGGACCUCGUGCUCCUACAGCCACAGCCAAGACCAGCACUGCUCUCUGCAGCGCCCAUGCAGGCUUUACUUCUUUCUUACUCCAGCCAGUGCAGCCCACAUAGGCAGCCUGAAAGGACCUGGGCCCACCAGCUGCAAGGCUGCCCCCGACUUGAACCUCUGCUCACUAGAGGCCAGUUUUGCUUUCUUGCUGUGUCAUUCCUCCCUGCUGGCCGUGACACAGUUAAAAUGCAGAGGGCUGUGGUCUUUCUCUCACACACUCUCUGUGGCCGCUGGCAUGCAUGCACAUUCGAACAGAAGGGAAAGGUGUAUUUUCAUUUCCAAUUAGGGCUGCUGCUUCCCAUCGCCUGAGAUUGAUUGCUUGUCCCUGGAUCCCCUUUAGCUCUGCGAUGCUUUAAGAGGCUGCCAAGUGGUCCCUGCCUCUAGCCUUCUUUCUCCUCAGCCCACCUUGAACAGUUAGUCCACUGCAGUCGGGAACGUGACACGUCCUGGUUAGGAUGCUGCUGGCAUCAUCUGAGAGCGGGUGAACUGGCUUAAUAGCCUAGUGAGUGUGCAUUUGUACAGCUUCCUUCUGCUUGCAGCAGCAGGGGUGUGGAGGGCCAGGCAGAGAGCGCACACAGCCAGCUGUGUCCUUUCUGCUGUAUCAGGCGUGCCUUUUCCAGCAGCAGACUCCCAGAUGGGCUAAAGCUUCUGAGGUCCUUGUCAUCCACUACUGGGAGGCUGUAUGCCUGCCACCCCUGCAUUCGAAGUGGACAUUAUUUCUGUCUGAGCAUAUGCCCAUCUGCUCUUGGCUCCGGUAGUACCUGGGCUCUCACAAACUCUGACCCGUAAGGAGACUCCUGCCCUUAUGGGAAGGGGUUUGAUGCACAUCUGUGAAAUGUUUGAACAUCUCGCUUGUACUUGUUUGAACUCUCCCUGGUUCAGACAGUGACAGCCCUGUGCAGGAGGUUGCUCCGCUCCUGAUCAGGAGGUGCAGCUGUUAGAUCCUGGAGAACAAGGUGUUCUAGGAAUACCCGUGGUAGGUCUUGUUAGACGAGGAGGAUGAGUAAGGCCAGGCCACCCUGGGGGGUUAUACUGGGUGCUAGGAGGGAUAGGAAGCCAGGUGUGAUUUCAGUGGGAAGCAUUGGCAGCAUGUCCCCAUGUGUACAGCAGGGGUGGGCAGAAACUGCCCUACAUGCAGUGUGAGGGCUUCGAGGAAGCUGGAAUGGCAGUGUGGAGGCACAGAGGGCAAGACACGAGAGGCCAGUGAACGCGGACAAAGUGGUCAGAAAGGCAUCUGCUGUGGGCAGAGCUGAGAGGAGAGAGCCUUAGAGCCCAGGGCGGGGGCAGAGCGGGUACCUGGGUAGAGGAUGGGAGCGGGCCUGCCAGGAUACAAGUGCUGGGGUCGGGGCGAGUAGAGGGCUCCUGGAGCUUUGGCAGAGGAGCCUCCUCUUUACAAGCAGCAGGGUUUUGAUGUGGGAUUUGUUAAGAUGCAUGGAUGGAGGUGGGCGCUGGAAGCAGAGAGACGAAAUGACUGAGGCUGUGAUGGGGAGUAGUCCAGGGCACAUGCACGUACUCCCAGACACGUGCACGGGGUAUGGGCUGGUGCUAGUUUGGGCAGCCCAGCUGUAAGCAUGCUCCCAAGUAAUGCUUGUGGCAUGCGCUACUUGUGGGGCCAUGUAUGUCACUAAGCACCCGAAGAGAUGCCGGAGCGGGAGCAUCCCGGCUCUGUUCUUCCCUUGUAGUGAGCUCUCUGUGGGGGUGCGCGUCGUUUCAUGCUGAGCUGCAGGCGCCAGGGUCCUGCCGUUGGUCCUGCAGGAUGUGGAUGCUUACACCCGCUGCUGAACGGCCCAGCAGUUCAGGUAAAGCACUUGCUGUGACUCCAUCAGGAGUCUCCACUGCUACUUGCAAGUGUUCAGCCCUCUUCCCCCAGCACAGCCGGGAGCUAGGAUCUGGCCCUCAGCAGCCUGUGGCUCAGCCCGAGUCUGCUGCGGGGUCUGGCAAUACCUGCCCUGUCCCGAAGCUGAGCUCAGGGGCCGUUGUGCGUGGGGGUGCAGCACGAGACGCUUGAUGCUGAAGCCAGUAUUUCUGCGCUACGCCUCCCCGUCUGCUCCUUCUCCACGCAGGUGGAGGCAGCAGACGUUCUGCUGCGAGUCGCUGCAGCAGGUGCAAAGGAGAUCAUCUUUUCUAGAGACUUCCUUCUGUUUUGUUAUUUCCUUCUCUAAGAGGGGAGCGACUCUAGGCUGGAAGUUUCCAUUUUGCUGGUGGUGCAUGGAGGUGUCGCCAUCUUGGCCGCGGGGCCACGGGGCCCAGGCCAGCGACGCUCGCUCGGCGCAGAGCUGGAGCGUGGCAGCCCAGCCCCUUGCGCGGGACUCAGGAGGGCCCGGCCCGGGCAGGUGCACGCGGCAGAGCCGGCCUGUUGUGG